rnacentral:rRNA from 1 species
AUUGAACGCUAGCGGGAUGCCUUACACAUGCAAGUCGAACGGAGCGGCGAACGGGUGAGUAAUGUCUCGGAACGUGCCCGGUAGUGGGGGAUAACUACGCGAAAGCGUAGCUAAUACCGCAUACUAUUGGAGCGGCCGAUGUCGGAUUAGCUAGUUGGUGGGGUAACGGCUUACCAAGGCGACGAUCCGUAGCUGGUUUGAGAGGACGAUCGGUCACACGGGAACUGAGACACGGCCCAGACUCCUACGGUAGGCAGCAGUGGGGAAUUUUGGACAAUGGGCGAAAGCCUGAGCCAGCCAUCCCGCGUGUGUGAUGAAGGUCUUCGGAUUGUAAAGCACUUUUGGCAGGGAAGCGGUACCUACAGAAUAAGCACCGGCUAACUACGUGCCAGCAGCCGCGGUAAUAC